rnacentral:rRNA from 1 species
UACGUAGGUGGCUAGCGUUGUCCGGAUUUAUUGGGCUUAAAGGGUGCGUAGGCGGCUCUUUAAGUCAGUGGUGAAAGCCGACCGCUUAACGAUCGAACUGCCAUUGAUACUGAGAGGCUUGAGUAUAGUUGAGGUAGGCGGAAUUGACAGUGUAGCGGUGAAAUGCAUAGAUAUUGUCAAGAACACCAAUUGCGAAGGCAGCUUACUAAAGUAUAACUGACGCUGAGGCACGAAAGUGCGGGGAUCAAACAGG